AACCUGCGGAGGGAUCAUU
rnacentral:rRNA from 13 species